AUCAAUCGCCCCCUCUGGUCCUGUCAAGCCGGGGGACGUGUGGACCGUGGCCGGGCGGUGAUGCUCCUCGCUGGGAACCCGCUGUGUGGCUGCGCAACGAGGCGGACCAGCUGCUGCCGCCUGCCCACUCGCACGCGAAGGCCCAUGAUGCACCUCCGCCCAGUUCGCUGCAGCUGUGAUGGAAGCCAGGUUGAAGUCCAGAGAGGAGGAACACUUCGAUUAAUGGAGUGUUUCUUGUUUACUCCAGCGUGGAUGUAAACAGAACCAAGACGCCGGGCCCUUUGUUGACUCCCCCGUGUGAUGAACCAUAUGUACUACAUUCAAUUAAAAAUUUGUCUCAUUGAAUAAAUCUUA